AACGAACGCUGGCGGCAUGCCUAACACAUGCAAGUCGAACGAGACCUUCGGGUCUAGGGGCCUACGGGUGCGUAACGCGUGGGAACCUGCCCUUAGGUUCGGAAUAACUCCCCGAAAGGGGUGCUAAUACCGGAUAAUGUCUUCGGACCAAGGAUUUAUCGCCUUUGGAUGGGCCCGCGUUGGAUUAGCUAGUUGGUAGGGUAAAAGCAUACCAAGGCGACGAUCCAUAGCUGGUCUGAGAGGAUGGUCAGCCACACUGGGACUGAGACACGGCCCAGACUCCUACGGGAGGGAGCAGUGGGGAAUAGUGGACAAUGGGCGAAGGCCUGAUCCAGCAAUGCCGCGUGAGUUAUGAAGGCCUUAGGGUUGUAAAGCUCUUUUACCCGGGAUGAUAAUGACAGUACCGGGAGAAUAAGCCCCGGCUAACUCCGUG
rnacentral:rRNA from 1 species